rnacentral:rRNA from 1 species
GACAGAGGUGCCGAGCGUUAGGCGGAAUCACUGGGCUUAAGGCGUGUGUAGGCGGGUGCCUAAGUACCUUGUGAAAUCCCACGGCUCAACCGUGGAACUGCUCGGUAUACUGGGUGCCUUGAGCCAACUAGGGGCGACCGGAACAAACGGUGGAGCGGUGAAAUGCGUAGAUAUCGUUUGGAACGCCGAUGGUGAAAACAGGUCGCUGGGGUUGUGCUGACGCUGAGACACGAAAGCCAGGGGAGCGAACGGG